GCGCCGAUGGUUUAGUGGUAAAAUUCUCCGUUGCCAUCAAGCAAUGUCGGGGAGCCGGGGGUUCGAUUCCCCCUCGGCGCA
rfam:Colletotrichum tofieldiae strain 0861 Ct_v4_contig29, whole genome shotgun sequence.